rnacentral:rRNA from 1 species
UACGUAGGGUGCAAGCGUUGUCCGGAAUUAUUGGGCGUAAAGAGCUCGUAGGCGGUUUGUUGCGUCGGCUGUGAAAUCCCGAGGCUCAACCUCGGGUCUGCAGUCGAUACGAGCAAACUAGAGUGUUUGCAGGGGAGACUGGAAUUCCUGGUGUAGCGGUGAAAUGCGCAGAUUAUCAGGGAGGGAAACACCCGGGUGGGCGAAAGGCGGGGUCUCUGGGGCAAC